UCAUUAACUAGACAAGGUAUCAUGAGGACACCCUGGGGAACUCUGCUGGGAAUCCUGUGGCUCCAGAUUUGCUGGGUGAGAGGGAUGACAGUGGAGCAGAGCCCUUCAGCCCUGAGCCUCCAGGAGGGAGCCAGCUAUACUCUGAAGUGCAAUUUUUCUAGCAGUCCAUACAGUGUACAGUGGUUCCGACAGCACCCCGGGGGCAGCGGUCUCAUCCGGCUGUUUUACAUAGCUUCAGGGAUGCAGCACAGUGGGAGGUUAAACUGCACAGUGAAUACUAAGGAACAGUCCAGCACCCUCCACAUUACGGCUUCCCGACUGGAAGACUCAGCCACCUACCUGUGUGCAGCCCAGGCACAGUGGUCUCUGGUGAUCUGCAGCCUGCACCCAAACUGCACCUGGGCCUGCAGACCCGCCCUUCUUCGGGGCGGGCCCUUGCUCUCAUGCAGCCUUUGCCCAUUUUCAGAUUUAUGUAAAAAGCUCUACCAUGGAACUCUUGGAGUAAGUGACAGAGAUGCCCAUAUCCAGUACCAUGGGAAGAUAGAGGUCCUGGCAGCUACCACAUAA